rnacentral:rRNA from 1 species
CCAUGCAAGUCGAACGGUCAAUGCAAAUUGAUAGUGGCGCACGGGUGAGUAACACGUAGCUAACCUGCCUUCGAGUGGGGGAUAACGUCCCGAAAGGGAUGCUAAUACCGCAUAAGCUCACAUAACGGUAAGAGUGUGUGAGAAAAGAUUAAUCGCUUGAAGAGGGGGCUGCGGCCCAUCAGGUAGUUGGUAGGGUAACGGCCUACCAAGCCAACGACGGGUAGGGGGCCUGAGAGGGUGGCCCCCCACACUGGGACUGAGACACGGCCCAGACUCCUACGGGAGGCAGCAGUGAGGGAUAUUGCACAAUGGGCGAAAGCCUGAUGCAGCGACGCCGCGUGGGUGAUGAAGGCUUUCGGGUCGUAAAGCCCUUUUCCCACUGACGAGGAAGGACGGUAGGUGGGGAAUAAGUCUCGGCUAACUACGUGCCAGCAGCCGCGGUAAAACGUAGGAGACGAGCGUUAUCCGGAGUUACUGGGCGUAAAGCGUGCGUAGGUGGAUGGUUAAGUGGGUCGUGAAAGCCGUGGGCUAAACUUACGGAGGACGAUUCAGACUGGUCAUCUAGAGGGUGGUAGAGGAGUGCGGAAUUCCGGGUGUAGCGGUGAAAUGUGUAGAGAUCCGGAGGAACACCAGUGGCGCAAGCGGCGCUCUGGGCCACUACUGACACUGAUGCACGAAAGCGUGGGGAGCGAACGGGAUUAGAGACCCCGGUAGUCCACGCCGUAAACGA